GCAUCUCUUCUGACCAUUCCAGGGCGUUUUUAUGGGACGGCCUUCCCUUGCUCACCCAGCCUCUUCUUUAUUUUCUUCUGCUUUGUGAAAGUGGGUUAAACAGCACUCGGCUUUGUGAGGAACACGGCCAACAAAUGAGAUAUCAAACGCAGCUUCCUGUGUAAGAGAUCAGACUCCGCCGGGCACACACGCCGGGCUCUGCUGGAGCUCCUGGGCUCUGCAGCCAGCUUCAUUUAGGAUUCAUAAAUACUUUUGCGCGCUCCCGCACAUACAGCCGCCGAAGGAAUUUCAUUCUGUAUCAUCUGCUUUCAAAUGCAACAAGGUCACUUCCCUUGUCAGAGAAAUUGCAUCCAUUCCCUGUUUA
rnacentral:lncRNA from 1 species